GCAGAACUGUGUACAAUUGCAGAUCAAGACUCGAGGGUGAUGAGAGCAGUGCAAAGUUAUACAAAACUAGACUGGUGGUACAGACGCCUGCCACGGUAACGCGCUCCUCUAAACACUCACCUUCAUCUCCGCCGCUCCGAAUGUCACUACUGUCAAGCGGGACGUCACCUCGUAUUUAUAGCGAAGCCUUUCAUCUCUCGGCCCAUCCCACCCGUCUUGACCCUGCUCCUCCCCGCCCCAACACUCCUCCCUCCCAUGGUGACCCUGCCUCCCCCCCACCCAACCUUUCGGCACGCCAUGCAGACGCUUCAUGAAUGGGAGGCGUGGGGCGGGCGGGCUGGCUGGCGGGGUGAAGGAGGCCUGCUAGAAAAAGUGACAACACUCCCUGCGUGAACACCCAGCACCAAGAAUGUCGAGCCCUCCAGACAUGCACCGCUCACCUCACCACGCCUCGCCCUCAUGCCAGCCUUCAGGGUACUGCUGGUGAUGGAACGAAUAUCGGAACACAAGACCGUGACCAUAAAGCACCUCACUUGUGUAUGGCGCGUUGGAUGCACCAUAAGAAUAUGGCGGAUAAAUAUCCCCCUAACCCGUAAGUAAUGGAAGUAGCUCAAGUGCAACAGAAAAUAAAAAAGAGAACACUAAGUGCUGUUCCAGCAAGAAGUCUGCACAAGAGGCCACGGGGGAUACCUUGAGGUCAUGGGACCGUGUGAACUGCUUCUCACAGAGGUGGCACGGGUUUGUCCUGGAGGAGAGUACCUUGCCACACAUGGCACACUGACAAGGGUUGGGACCAAAGGUGUGUUUGUGGCGGAUGUGGACCUCCAUGUGGUUUUUAGUAGUGAAGAACUUCUGGCAGUGGUCACACUGAUAUGGCCGCCCAUUGUUG